rnacentral:lncRNA from 10 species
GUGAAGCCCAUGUGAGCCACGGGCCUGUGCUACCUCCACACACACCAAGACUCCCCCACAACACGCUGGUAGAAGGGAAUGAAGCUGCUGCCCACAGCCCAAGCUCUCCACGGCCAACGUGUAGCAAAAGUGGCAGAAUCAACCACAAAAAAGAAAAGGAGAUCCUCUCUCCUGUUAACUGAAUUUUAAACAAUCUGUGGGGUUUUUUUGUUUGUUUGUUUUGAGAUAGAGUCUCACUCUGUUGCCCAGGCUGGAGUGCAGUGGUGUGAUCUUGGCUCACUGCAACCUCAGCCUCCUGGGUUCAAGUGAUUCUCCUGCCUCCCAAGUAACUGGGAUUACAGGCGCACGCCACCACGCCUGGCUAAUUUUUGUAUUUUUAGUAGAGGCAGAGUUUCACCAUGUUGGCCAGGCUGGUCUCGAAAUUCUCCUGACCUUGAGUGAUCUGCCUGCCACCGCCUCCCAAAGUGCUGGGAUUACAGGUGUGAGCCACUGCGCACGGUCAUCUUUCAUAAAUUUCUAACCUUACUCAAGGUACAAUGUUUCCAUAGGGAGAAAAAACUAAUCAAAAAGUAAUUAAUGAUGAUGAUACCUUGAAAUGACACAGCAGAGUCCAGUGCAAGGGUCAAGGUGGGAAUCAUGAACCUCUGGGGUAACCUGAGGGUUCCAUGAACUUGGAUGGGAAAAAUUACAUGCUUAUUUCCACUAACUUCUGAAAUUCAGCAUUUCCUUUGGCAAUAAAUGUAGGCUACACACCACAGCAGUUAGCAAUGACUGCAACUUUGUCACCAAUAGAAUGCACUGAUAUUUGCACACCAGGCCACAGCUGUUGCAGAUGCCACAGGGAUCCUCGCACAGCCCUCACAACUUGGAACUUACACCACUGUUGGACCUGCUGCUAAAGCUGGUUCUUCAUUUGUUAACAUAAAGUACCACUGGUGUUACUGUUUCACAAAUGUAGUAUUUCAGGAUGUUAAUAACUAUAUUUCAGUUUAACUGAUUACCCUUGAAUCCUAUGUAUUUAUUUUGUAGAUUAAUAAGAAGGGAUCCAUUGGCCUUGCCAGACCACCCAAGGGCUCCAUGGCACAAAAAAGGGCUUAAAACCCCAGGUCUGAGCCAGGCGCAGUGGCUCAUGCCUGUAAUCCCAGUACUUUAGGAGGCUGAGGUGGGAGGAUCUCUUGAGCCCAGGAGUUUGAGAUCAGCCUGGGCAACACAGUGAGACCCCAUUUUUAUAAAAAAUUAAAAUAAUAACAAUAAUAAAAACCUUGAUCUGGUGGGUCUGAGUGUGGGCCCAGAAUACACAGGUUUUUCUUUUUCUUUUGAGACAGGGUCUCACUCUGUUGCUCGGGCUGGAGUGCAAUAGGGCAUUUUUUUUUUUUU